CAAUAGCGUAUAUUAAUGUUGUUGCAGUUAAAAAGCUCGUAGUUGGAUUUCUGACGGGAGCCCUGGUCACUUUAACGAGUGUACUGACGUGGCGUCCUGUCGUUUCAUGGGGAUGCUUGCUGGUAUUAAGUUAUCGGCUUGUGGAUCCAUGUCGUUUACUGUGAAAAAAUUAGAGUGUUCAAAGCAGGCCAUCGCUGUGAAUACAUUAGCAUGGAAUAAUAAGAUAGGACUGUGGUGCUAUUUUGUUGGUUUGCGUACUACGGUAAUGAUUAAUAGGGAUAGUUGGGGGUAUUCAUAUUCAAUUGUCAGAGGUGAAAUUCUUGGAUUUAUGGAAGAUGAACUACUGCGAAAGCAUUUACCAAGGAUGUUUUCAUUAG
rnacentral:rRNA from 1 species